UGGGGAAUAUUGCACAAUGGGCGAAAGCCUGAUGCAGCGACGCCGCGUGAGGGAUGAAGGCCUUCGGGUUGUAAACCUCUUUCGUCAGGGAAGAAGCCUCUUUGGGGGUGACGGUACCUGGAGAAGAAGCACCGGCUAACUACGUGCCAGCAGCCGCGGUAAUACGUAGGGUGCGAGCGUUGUCCGGAAUUAUUGGGCGUAAAGAGCUUGUAGGCGGUUUGUCGCGUCUGCCGUGAAAAUCCAAGGCUUAACUUUGGACGUGCGGUGGGUACGGGCAGGCUAGAGUGUGGUAGGGGAGACGGGAAUUCCUGGUGUAGCGGUGAAAUGCGCAGAUAUCAGGAGGAACACCGAUGGCGAAGGCAGGUCUCUGGGCCAUAACUGACGCUGAGAAGCGAAAGCAUGGGGAGCGAACA
rnacentral:rRNA from 1 species